rnacentral:rRNA from 1 species
AUUGAACGCUGGCGGCAUGCCUUACACAUGCAAGUCGAACGGCAGCACGGGUGUUUGCACCUGGUGGCGAGUGGCGAACGGGUGAGUAAUACAUCGGAACAUGUCCUGUAGUGGGGGAUAGCCCGGCGAAAGCCGGAUUAAUACCGCAUACGAUCCACGGAUGAAAGCGGGGGACCUUCGGGCCUCGCGCUAUCGGGUUGGCCGAUGGCUGAUUAGCUAGUUGGUGGGGUAAAGGCCUACCAAGGCGACGAUCAGUAGCUGGUCUGAGAGGACGACCAGCCACACUGGGACUGAGACACGGCCCAGACUCCUACGGGAGGCAGCAGUGGGGAAUUUUGGACAAUGGGCGAAAGCCUGAUCCAGCAAUGCCGCGUGUGUGAAGAAGGCCUUCGGGUUGUAAAGCACUUUUGUCCGGAAAGAAAUCCUUGACUCUAAUACAGUCGGGGGAUGACGGUACCGGAAGAAUAAGCACCGGCUAACUACGUG